AAGAAUCUAAUGUAUUCACCUUCCAGCCGUCAACAACAACAAAUUAACCCAUGUAUUGCAGUUGUUGGAGAAUAGGCCCUGAAGUUGGAAUUCAAAGCACCUUAUUUCAUGUAAAGUGUUAGUAACCACUGAAGAAUAGGGUCCUUCAUAUAAAUGGCUUCAAGAGAGGCUGCUCGUGAAGCUCUCCACUAUGUGGCUAUCAACUUGAGCCCAUUUCUUGCUUUGGCAAACUGCCACUUGGUGGAUGUGUUUGUGUAUGAUGUAUGGCACAAAGUCUUACCUCCGCUGCUAUGGGAUUGUCUCAACGAAAUUUCACCAAAGGAUCUGUGCUCCAUGUUUGGACCUUCUCAGGAAUCUACUCAACUACUUGACUGGAUCAAGAGUGACCUCCCAUCUUUGCACAAGUUCCUUUGUUGCUGCACUUGAUGCAUGUCAGUCAACUUGGUGUACUGAGCUCCAAACAAGAGAGCCAUAAAUUUGAGGGAACAGGUACUUGCAGCGGCACAGCAGCACGCCCCGCCAGCGACCGCCACGGAGGACCUGCAGUGCCUCAUGCCACUGAAGAAGGCGCAUGAGGGGAUGGCCAUGGCGGAGCUUAUGGCGGCUCUCUGUGCCGGUGAGAGAAGAGGGGGUGCUGGUGAGACGAGGAGGUGCUGGUGAGACGAAGGGGUGCUGGUGAGACAAGGAGGUGCUGGUGAG
rnacentral:lncRNA from 1 species